CUGUCAUGACGGUUGUGAUCAGACAAAUCUACUUUGGAAAACGAAGGCCCAAGGUGCCCAUUGGUUACCACUUUACCAGUCUGCAGUUAAAAGAUGUUUACAGGUAUCACGGUCGGUGUGGGGUUGGACUCAAGA